rnacentral:rRNA from 1 species
UGGGCGGCGACCGGCAAACGGGUGCGGAACACGUACGCAACCUACCCAAAACUGGGGAAUAGCCCGGGGAAACCCGAUUAAUACCCCGUAACAUAUUGAAGAGGCAUCUUUUUAAUAUUAUAGCUCCGGCGGUUUUGGAUGGGCGUGCGGCUGAUUAGGUAGUUGGCGGAGUAAUAGCCCACCAAGCCUACGAUCAGUAACUGGUGUGAGAGCACGACCAGUCACACGGGCACUGAGACACGGGCCCG